UCCGGAUUAGCUCAGUUGGUAGAGCAGUUGACUGUUAAUCAAUUUGUCACUGGUUCGAGUCCAGUAUCCGGAG
rnacentral:tRNA from 1 species